rnacentral:lncRNA from 1 species
AGAGUGUUGGGCUUGCCAUUUCUGUGAUAAAAAGUGCUCAAAAACACCAAAAGAAUUGGAAUACAGAGGCAAGAGGGAAGCUGAAAAAUGAACUGAUUGAACAAAUGGACAAGAAGCUACACAAAAUAAAAAAUCAGUUGCAGGAGUCCAUUCUGAAAGAUGAAAGCAAUACUACAAAGAAGAAGAGCCAGUUUGCAGACAUGGCUGCAGCAGAUGUGGUGCAGGAAGUUUUCAACCGAUGUCAAACAAUAUUCAGUGCGAACUUUGUGGAUCCAGAUUAUGUUGUGACGCCAUUCUUGAGAAUACUGUCAACA